AGCGAACGCUGGCGGUAUGCUUAACACAUGCAAGUCGAGCGCGAAAGUGACUUCGGUCAUGAGUAGAGCGGCGGACGGGUGAGUAACACGUGGAUAAUCUGCCUUUAGGACUGGGAUAACCCUGGGAAACUAGGGCUAAUACCGGAUAAGACCACAGGUUCCAUGGAACCAGGGGUAAAGGCGGCCUUCGGCUGUCGCCGAAAGAUGAGUCCGCGUCCCAUCAGGUAGUUGGUGAGGUAACGGCUCACCAAGCCGAAGACGGGUAGCCGACCUUAGCGGGUGAUCGGCCACACGGGGACUGAGACA
rnacentral:rRNA from 1 species